rnacentral:rRNA from 1 species
AUGGCUCGCUUCGCCGUGGUCGCCGCCAUCAUCGCCCUCCUCGCCGUCUCCACCGCCGCGCAGGGCCCCAUGCCGGCACCCAGGAUGGCCCCUCUCCCCGCACCUCCGGCGAGGUCCCCGGCCACCGCCCCUGCGCCGGUCGCCACCCCGCCCACCGCCGCGUCACCGUCCCCGAUGGCCUCUCCCCCUGCCCCGCCCACCGACGCGCCGACGGAUGCUCCCUCCGCGAUGACGCCGCCCGCGGUCUCCGCCACACCCUCCGGCGCGCCCAUCGGCGCCCCCACCGGCACCCCCGCGAGCUCUGCCGUGUACUCGUCCGCCGCUAGCUUCGUCGCAGUCGCCGGAGCGGUUGCCGCCGCCAUCGUCUUUUAG